AUUCUAUUGAUUUAAUAAUCUCACAUCUUCCAUGAGUAGUAUAGUUAUCAAAUCAUGUAUAAGUACUGAAACAUGCAAUGAAAUAUGUUAAUUAUGAAAUCAUUCUCAUAUUCAUCAGAAACCAAACAUUACUAAAGUUCACUCCAUUUUCACACAAACAUUUUCAUACAUAUAAAUUAAAAUUUGGCAAUAUCCAAAGUAUCCGUAAAUUUGAACAUUUAAGGAAAAUCUGAAGUCAUAGUGUCCCCUUUUUUAAUACAUUUAGGUCCUGUAACUUUCAAGUUUCAAGUUAUUACAAUACAAACUUAGAAUGCAGCCAGUUCAGCAUUUUUGAUAAUGAACAAAAAUGUAUCAUUCAAACAAAUAAUGACUGUGAAAAUACAGUACAGGUUGUCAAAACAGAACCUGGCAUAAACUGUAAACAUAUUCAAAUAAAAUAUUGUAUCAGUACAACCCAGGCCCUAAGCCAGGAAUUUCCAAGGGGGGUUAUUUGGACUCACAAACUCGACUUUAACAGUCACAAUUCAACAAAACGUUGACCUUAACAGUGUUUAUUGUUUUCAAGGGGGGUUAACCGAACCCUAUGAACCCCCCUAGCUACAGAUAUGCAACCAAUAAAUACUCUAUAGUACUUUUAAAUUCCAAAUACCAUUCGAAACUAUUCAUUCCAUAAUGAUUUUAAGGUCACUAAUGAGUCUUUCUUAGACGAAAUACUGGUCUGGCUUACACAUUUUUUUAUCCUGGUAUCUAAGAAACCAGUUCACUGGCAAGAGCUGCUCACCCUUCCAGAAUACCUUUAAUUUUUUGUUAGAUUCAUGUGAAUUAAUGUAAACUAUACAUAUGUCUCUUGUGAAGCGCUGUCUCAUUGGCAAUCAUACCACAUCUUCUUUAUAUAUAUAUAUAUAUAUAUAUAUACAUUUGGUGUAUUUACUGUCUUCUGAUUGGUUGAAAGUAUUACUUUUAUUUUCAAUGUUGUCAAUUUUUAUGGUGACACACCCACUCUGACCUUGCGUAUUCAUACGCCAAUAUGUGUGUACGUUGUUAUUGUUAAUAUAAAUAAUAUAAAAAGUUCUUUGGGCCUUAUUUUUUAUAGAAAUUUAUGUAUAAUGAAUGGCAAUUUUAAUUAAUAAUUUAUUUUGAAUUUAUUGAACCCUAAAAUUUAUUUUUGACUCUUCACAUUGAAUAAUAUGCUAAUGAGUCAGAUGAUUGAUUUUGUAGGGUUUUAGAGACUUUCCACUAUUUUAAUUUACAUUAUAGUGUGCUAUUCAUUAAAUAUAUAGAUUUGUGGAUUGAGCAGUCUUUUCUUAUGACUUAGUUGUUGUCUGGGUUUUUUUUUAACACAUGGAUUUUGAUUGACUCUUUAAGACCCUAGAUACAUUAUAGCAGUUUUAUCAUUGUCACUUCUUGCAGUUCAACAAUAUAUAUGACGUUAGCUUAAUACAAUGUAUUCGUGAUUUUUACAAAUAUAACAAUGAUUAUUACAUCUUUAAUUUCAUCUAAUUGGACAUGGCUAAAAAUUGCUUCAUGUACAGUUCUAUCUUAGUAAUGGGUAACCUAAGAGUUAUUAAAAAUUUCCAUACAUUUUUUAUUCCGAAUGUUGUACAAUAAACAAAAACGUGAGUUACAAAUAUGAAUAAAGCAAUCCCAGAAUUUAAACAGCCAAUUCUUAUCAAACUGAACUAGAUGUGUUGCAAUUAUUUUAAGUCAUUCAAGUGGGAAGUUUUGCUAGCUAUAAAACCAGGUCUAACCCAUCAGUCAUACAAGUGGGAGGUUUUGCUAGCUAUAAAACCAGGUCUAACCCAUCAGUCAUACAAGUGGGAAGUUUUGCUACCUAUAAAACCAGGUCUAACCCAUCAGUCAUACAAGUGGGAAGUUUUGCUAGCUAUAAAACCAGGUCUGACCCAUCAUUUUCUUCUUAAAAUGCCUCUACCAAAUAAGGAAUAAUACACUUGUUUUCCAUUCCUUCAGAAGGUUGAUAUAGUCAAAGGUUAAAUUUUACCAGGUUUUAUAGACUUUCCCCUUUUUUAAUUUACCAUAUAGCUUGGUAGUUUUGUUAGUUUUUAAUUUCAGCCAUGUUAAAUCAGGUAAAAUUAAUGUUGUAUUUUAAAAUCAAGGGAGGUGAUAAUAAUCUUAAAAAUAAUAUAUAAGCAGUUAUUCAAAUGACAUUCGACAAUCAUAACAAAUUCAUUCCUUUUGCCCACACUCACUUUCAUAUAUUAAGCUCACAAUAUUAAUCCUAUAAACAAAUAAAAAUUUAAUAAUAUAUAUAUAUUUAUAUAUAUAUAUGUAAUAUAUAGAGAUUCUACAUGUACUACAUUUAACACAUAAGUUUUGACAAAUACUGUGGAUUCAUUUAUUUUUCGGGGGAUGCAAUUUUUCUUGCAUUUGGUUUUAUAAGAGACAACAAAUUCAAUUGUUCUACAUACUAUAAAUUUUCUGUAGGCUUGUGUACAGAAUUUUGAAAAAAAAACACAAAAUCAAACAUCCACAUACAUAAACAAUUUCUGAAUCAAGUUAAAUUGUAACUAAAUGAAUCCAUGGUACUGCAAUUUUUACUAUUUUAGGGAGCUACCAUUUAAUUUUUAUGGGGGGGGCUAAAAAAAAAUUGUGUCCUGCAUUUUUUUUUUGUUGUAAUCUCUAUCCUGCCUUUUUAUUUUUCACUCUUUUCAGUCCUGUUCUUCUUUUAAAAGUUUAUUCUGACUUUUUUUUUUACCCAUAUUGUCAUCCUGACUUUUUUUUUGCAAGUGUCUCAUCCUGCCUUUUUUUUUACUCAAAACUCCUGUCCUGCCUAUUUAAAAUUUCAUCCUAGCCCCACCCCCAACCUAAAAAUCAAAUAGUAGCUCCCUUACAAUCAUUUAAAUGACAUAUCAUUUACACUGUAGUCUGACAUAUAUUAUUACAAUAUUCAGAUAUUACUCACAUUUAACAUUUUUACUUUAAUUAUUUGGUGCUUAACAAAUAUUAGCUUUCUCAAAAAGCUUCAAACAUAUAUGUAGAUGAACAACCUUUAGAAAAAGAACCUUUAAUUCAGAAUUGAUCCUUGAGGCCUCAUUUACAAUCCAUUGCACAACAUGAACUUAAAUAAAAUGAGCUCUAAAUGUCUUUUUUGAUUUCAUUGCUUUGUUGGAUACUGUUAACAAGUAACAUAUACUAAUCAUUUCUUUUAUUCAUAUAUCAAAACGUUUUAUUAUUAAAUCUAGUUGUCUGCCAUGGGGUAAAAUAAUUCUCUUUCUUAAUUUUAAUCUUUUCUCUUUCAUAAUUUCAAUCUUUUAUCUUUCAUAAUUUCAAUCUUGUAGAAUUUUAUAAAAUGGCAUUUAAAAACUCUUUAAGAUAAAUUGUAUAUUAAAUAACGUUUCUUUUGCGGUUUAAAAAUAAAUAUAACUAUUCAUGUUUUAAAGUCCAUAUAAUUAUGUGAUUUUUAAAUUAUGGUGAGGUAUGAUAAGAGUCAUUACCUGGCCCCUUUUAACUUUUUAAUUUUAAAUUCAUCAAUUCUUACAUUAAAGGUAAUUUUUGUUUUAUGAUGGUACAGUGUCAACACUUAAGUACAGAAAUGUCAGUAUAUGAUGUCACAGUGAUGUCAUUAACAUGCUGAAAUUGUUAUAUUUGACCAACAAUGACAAUAUAUCUGUCAUAGUUUUGGGAAAAAUCAAUAUAAGCCAAGUUUUACCCCCUAAAAAUAAUUUACUAUUUUUAACACUUUUCUAUGAGACAUCUUUAUGCAAAAUAUAUAUUCUGGUAAGGUAUCUAAAUAUACAUG
rnacentral:lncRNA from 1 species